rnacentral:lncRNA from 1 species
GAGCGAAGUGUUCCCGGCGGCGAUCACCACCACUUUACGCGGUAGAGCUUGGACUGAAAGUUCGCCGGAGUUUGGACUGAAAGUUCAGAGAUUUUAAGAAGAAGAAAACUAGUCAAUGAGAAAGAAACAUAAAAUAAAGUAAUGUAGUACCUUUAUAAAGAGCCAAAAGGGAGGUUUCUUCCAAUUUCCACAUAGAAAAUUUACCUAAGAUUUUCUUACCGAAACGAAAAGUGAAUAGUAUUAAAAACAAAUCAAUACACUCUUUUUUUGUGGUUAAUGUGGUGGGUUAGGGAUGGAGAUAUAAGUUGAGGGUAAAUUUGCCUGUUGAUGGUUUCAUUUCUUCUUCAUUUUUGUUAUUGGUAAGUGACUAAUUGGAAUUUUGUCCAUCAUUUUC